CAAAGGCAUGGUCCCGACCUUUACAUCAGCCCUAGCCCAAAUUACACAUGCAAGUAUCCGCACCCCUGUGAGUAUGCCCUUAAUCCCCUAACCUGGGGACGAGGAGCAGGAAUCAGGCACAAAUUAUUAGCCCAAGACGCCUAGCCUAGCCACACCCCCAAGGGGAUCCAGCAGUGAUAAACAUUAAGCCAUAAGUGAAAGCUUGACUCAGUGAGGGUUAAGUAGGGCCGGUAAAACUCGUGCCAGCAACCGCGGUUAGACGAGAGGCCCCAGUUGAUUACAUCACGGCGUAAAGGGUGGUUAAGGAGACUAUACAAAUAAAGCUGAAUGGUCCGUUAGCCGUCAUACGCUCUUAGAGGCCCGAAACCCAAACACGAAAGUGGCUUUAAUGAAACCUACCUGAUUCCACGAAAGCUGAGAAACAAACUGGGAUUAGAUACCCCACUAUGCUCAGCCAUAAACCAAGACACCAAUUCACAACAAUGUCCGCCAGGACACUACGAGCACCAGCUUGAAACCCAAAGGACCUGACGGUGCCUUAGAUCCACCUAGAGGAGCCUGUUCUAGAACCGAUUAUCCCCGUUAAACCUCACCACUCCUAGCAAUAUCAGCCUAUAUACCACCGUCGCCAGCUUACCCUGUGAAGGUAAUAAAAGUAAGCACAAUGGGUAAAACCCAAUACGUCAGGUCGAGGUGUAGCAAAUGAAGUGGGAAGAAAUGGGCUACAUUUUCUAUUAUAGAAUAAAACGGAUACGCAAUAUGAAAAUUUUAAUGCUUGAAGGAGGAUUUAGUAGUAAAAGAGGGAAAAGAGAGUCCCUUUGAACCCGGCUCUAAGGCGCGUACACACCGCCCGUCACUCCCUCCUGUCAAAAUGCGCUAACAUACCUUAAAAAACAGCACCGACGAGGGGGGAAAAGUCGUAACAAGGUAAGUGUACCGGAAGGUGCACUUGGACAAAACU
rnacentral:ncRNA from 1 species